rnacentral:rRNA from 1 species
GUAGUCCACACUGUAAACGAUGAAUGCUAGGUGUAGGAGGUAUCGACCCCUUCUGUGCCGGAGUCAACACAAUAAGCAUUCCGCYUGGGGAGUACGGCCGCAAGGUUGAAACUCAAAGGAAUUGACGGGGGCCCGCACAAGCAGCGGAGCAUGUGGUUUAAUUCGACGCAACGCGAAGAACCUUACCAGGUCUUGACAUCCAGGUAAAGCGGAAGAGAUUCCGUGUGUGCUUGCACAAUCUGAGACAGGUGGUGCAUGGUUGUCGUCAGCUCGUGUCGUGAGAUGUUGGGUUAAGUCCCGCAACGAGCGCAACCCUUAUGAUCAGUUACUAACGCGUAGAGGCGAGGACUCUGGUAAGACUGCCGGGGACAACUCGGAGGAAGGUGGGGACGACGUCAAAUCAUCAUGCCCCUUAUGACCUGGGCUACAAACGUGCUACAAUGGCGGUUACAAAGAGCGUGCGAGGCUGAGAAGUCGAGCGAAUCUCAAAAAAGCCGUCUCAGUUCGGAUUGUGGGCUGCAACCCGCCCACAUGAAGUUGGAGUUGCUAGUAAUCGCGGAUCAGAAUGCCGCGGUGAAUACGUUCCCGGGCCUUGUACACACCGCCCGUCACACCAUGGGAGUCGGGAGCACCCGAAGCCGGUGAGCUAACGCAAGAGGCAGCCGUC